CGGACGGGUGAGUAACACGUGAGCAACCUGCCUUUCAGAGGGGGAUAACAGUUGGAAACGACUGCUAAUACCGCAUAACGCUGCGAUGGGGCAUCCCGAUGCAGCCAAAGGAGCAAUCCGCUGGAAGAUGGGCUCGCGGCCGAUUAGCUAGUUGGUGGGGCAACGGCCCACCAAGGCGACGAUCGGUAGCCGGACUGAGGGGGUGAACGGCCACAUUGGGACUGAGACACGGCCCAAACUCCUACGGAAGGCAGCAG
rnacentral:rRNA from 1 species